rnacentral:tRNA from 1 species
GGAGAUGUGCCAGAGAGGUUGAAUGGAGCUGACUCGAAAUCAGCCAUACGGGAAACCGUAUCGGAGGUUCGAAUCCUCCCAUCUCCG